rnacentral:rRNA from 1 species
GACGAACGCUGGCGGCGUGCUUAACACAUGCAAGUCGUACGGUAAGGCCCUUUCGGGGGUACACGAGUGGCGAACGGGUGAGUAACACGUGAGUAACCUGCCCACAACUUUGGGAUAACGCUAGGAAACUGGUGCUAAUACUGGAUAUGUGCUCCUGCUGCAUGGUGGGGGUUGGAAAGCUCCGGCGGUUGUGGAUGGACUCGCGGCCUAUCAGCUUGUUGGUGGGGUAGUGGCCUACCAAGGCGGCGACGGGUAGCCGGCCUGAGAGGGUGACCGGCCACAUUGGGACUGAGAUACGGCCCAGACUCCUACGGGAGGCAGAGGUGGGGAAUAUUGCACAAUGGGCGCAAGCCUGAUGCAGCAACGCCGCGUGCGGGAUGACGGCCUUCGGGUUGUAAACCGCUUUCAGCAGGGACGAAGCUUUUUGUGACGGUACCUGCAGAAGAAGCACCGGCUAACUACGUG